rnacentral:lncRNA from 1 species
CCACCAUCCCCACCUCCACAUCCACCACCACCACCACCACCCAUGUUCCCCCCAUAAUUACUGCUAAAGAUUAUGCCUCCAUGGCUGCCGCCUCCAUGAAGGUGAGCAGCACUACGACGAAAAUCACCCUUUUUCUUGCGAGGUGAGCCAGAGUUGUGAUCACCACAAGCAAAUAUGACCAUGGAUAUAAUUGAGAGGGACAUAACGAUCAUGCAAAGCAAGAAUAAACCUCCGGAGCUCACAAGCACCAAACUCGCUUGGCCUGCAUUGCCAUCUCCUAUCACAAACUGUCUUGCCAUUUGCUUUUGUUUGGACCAGAGUUGAUAGCUUAGCAAUAUAUACAAAACCGGACACGUUUAUAAGCUAAUGGAAUUGUCUUUAUUUUGGUGCACUUAAACCGAUAUAUUAAUGCUGAGUGCUCCACUAUGUGGCUGAGAUUAAACUCUUUGUUAUCCCAAAAUGAAAAUUCACAAGCCGUCUCACCAAACUAAGCCCAACAUGAAGCUUCAAAGAACCUUCUCCAAG